rnacentral:rRNA from 1 species
UGAGGAAUAUUGGUCAAUGGGCGAGAGCCUGAACCAGCCAAGUAGCGUGCAGGAAGACGGCCCUAUGGGUUGUAAACUGCUUUUAUGCGGGGAUAAAGUGGGGGACGUGUCCCUUAUUGCAGGUACCGCAUGAAUAAGGACCGGCUAAUUCCGUGCCAGCAGCCGCGGUAAUACGGAAGGUCCGGGCGUUAUCCGGAUUUAUUGGGUUUAAAGGGAGCGUAGGCCGUCUUUUAAGCGUGUUGUGAAAUGCCGCGGCUCAACCGUGGCACUGCAGCGCGAACUGGAGGACUUGAGUGCGCAGGAGGUAGGCGGAAUUC